rnacentral:rRNA from 1 species
GACGAACGCUGGCGGCGUGCCUAAUACAUGCAAGUCGAGCGGAACUGGGGGAGCUUGCUCCUUCCAGUUUAGCGGCGGACGGGUGAGUAACACGUGGGCAACCUGCCCUGCAGAUCGGGAUAACUCCGGGAAACCGGUGCUAAUACCGAAUAGUUUGGCGCCUCUCCUGAGGCGCUACGGAAAGACGGUUUCGGCUGUCACUGCCGGAUGGGCCCGCGGCGCAUUAGCUAGUUGGUGGGGUAGCGGCCCACCAAGGCGACGAUGCGUAGCCGACCUGAGAGGGUGACCGGCCACACUGGGACUGAGACACGGCCCAGACUCCUACGGGAGGCAGCAGUAGGGAACCUUCCGCAAUGGACGCAAGUCUGACGGAGCAACGCCGCGUGAGUGACGAAGGUUUUCGGAUCGUAAAACUCUGUUGUGAGGGAAGAACACGUACCAACUAACUAUUGGUACCUUGACGGUACCUCACCAGAAAGCCACGGCUAGCUACGUGCCAGCCGCCGCCGUAA